UGGUAACCUAUGAUACUAAUAAUUAAUGAUUAUCAUGUCAUCAUGUGCAACUCACUACCGUUAAGUGAAAACAAGUUCAACCUAGCUUGCUUAUUAAUUAUGCAACUGUUGGUUAUUUCUUUUGGUUUAUAUUGAUCUAAUCAUGAUCAAGCUUUUUGUGAACCAGAGUCAAAGAGAAAAACAGAGCCAACAAGCGCUCACCACCGUCAUAUCAUCAUGCUUCGAAAGACGGUUCUCAGCUUCGAGCUUGUUGAAAGCAGUACAAGCAGCAUAAG
rnacentral:lncRNA from 1 species